rnacentral:lncRNA from 1 species
CCGUACUUAGAUCGUUGCUUGUCCUUAAACAAUUUUCUUGCAUUAAAAUAUUUAUGACAAGACCGUUUUCAAAGAAAAGCUUGAUAAGACAUAUGCAUAAUUUCUUACAAGAAAAUCCAUGAUCCAUUCGCGAGGUUAAGUUUUUCGGUACUUGUUUGAUCCUAACGGUCUUAUGAAAAUGCUUUUUAUAGUCUCCCUCAAAGAUAAUAAUUCC